rnacentral:rRNA from 1 species
AGGGCACCACCAGGAGUGGAGCCUGCGGCUUGAUUUGACUCAACACGGGAAAUCUCACCAGGCCCGGACACCGGAAGGAUUGACUGAUUGAGAGCUCUUUCUUGAUUCGGUGGGUGGUGGUGCAUGGCCGUUCUUAGUUGGUGGAGCGAUUUGUCUGGUUAAUUCCGAUAACGAACGAGACUCUAGCCUACUAAAUAGAUCGUCGGCUUACAAACGCUGAUGAGACUUCUUAGAGGGACAGGCGGCGAUUCAGCCGCACGAAACAGAGCAAUAACAGGUCUGUGAUGCCCUUAGAUGUCCGGGGCCGCACGCGCGCUACACUGAAGUGAUCAGCGUGCAUUUUCAGCCUACUCUGCUAAGAGUGGGAAACCCAAUGAACCUUCUUCGUGAUUGGGAUAGGAGAUUGUAAUUAUUCUCCUUGAACGAGGAAUUCCCAGUAAGCGCGAGUCAUAAGCUCGCGUUGAUUACGUCCCUGCCCUUUGUACACACCGCCCGUCGCUACUACCGAUUGAAUGUUUU